rnacentral:misc_RNA from 1 species
AAAAAGCGAAAAAUAUUUUCAUGGAAAAUGUAACUCAUUGGAUGAAGAAAAGGAGUGUGACAGGUGUACAAUGCGAUCUUGGAAUCGCGACAAAGUUAAAGGUAAGUCCUAUAUAACUGUGGUUAGGCCAACUACAUUGUAUGUGAGUGAAUGUUGGGCAUCUAAUGUAUGUCGUACCCUGUAAGAUGAGGUAAGUGUGGUAGAAAUGCACAUGAUGUCAUUUAUGUUUGGUAUUGCAAUAAUGGAUAAGCUUAGGAAUGACAACAUUAGUUUGGGCAUGCAUAUAGUACAUAUUGGGGAUAAAAUGAGAUGGUCUAUUAAGAUGGUUUGUUCAUAUUCUACAUAGAGCAUUGAAUGCCUCACUAGUUAAGUACGAUAAAUUAGUUAUAUAGGAGUAAGAAUAAAAAAGGUGGAAACCUAAAAUGACGGGGAGGAU